AACCCAUACUGAGGACAUUUCCACAGCAGAUCCUUGAACAUAUCACAUAUCUUAAAAAGAGACUCCAAAUUUGUUUGCAGAAAAAAGAAUAUUUCAUUCCUGAGCUU